GGGUGAUUAGCUCAGCUGGGAGAGCACCUCCCUUACAAGGAGGGGGUCGGCGGUUCGAUCCCGUCAUCACCUA
rnacentral:tRNA from 1 species